UACGUAGGUGGCAAGCGUUAUCCGGAAUUACUGGGUGUAAAGGGUGUGUAGGCGGGACUGCAAGUCAGAUGUGAAAACUAUGGGCUCAACCCAUAGCCUGCAUUUGAAACUGUGGUUCUUGAGUGUCGGAGAGGUAAAUGGAAUUCCCAGUGUAGCGGUGAAAUGCGUAGAUAUUGGGAGGAACACCAGUGGCGAAGGCGAUUUACUGGACGACAACUGACGCUGAGGCGCGAAAGCGUGGGGAGCAAACAGG
rnacentral:misc_RNA from 1 species